rnacentral:rRNA from 1 species
UGGGGAGCAAACAGGAUUAGAUACCCUUGGUAGUCCACGCCGUAAACAAUGUCGACUUGGAGGUUGUGCCCUUUGAGGCGUGGCUUCCGGAGCUAACGCGUUAAGUCGACCGCCUGGGGAGUACGGCCGCAAGGUUAAAACUCAAAUGAAUUGACGGGGGCCCGCACAAGCGGUGGAGCAUGUGGUUUAAUUCGAUGCAACGCGAAGAACCUUACCUACUCUUGACAUCCAGAGAACUUGGCAGAGAUGCUUUGGUGCCUUCGGGAACUCUGAGACAGGUGCUGCAUGGCUGUCGUCAGCUCGUGUUGUGAAAUGUUGGGUUAAGUCCCGCAACGAGCGCAACCCUUAUCCUUUGUUGCCAGCGGUCAGGCCGGGAACUCAAAGGAGACUGCCAGUGAUAAACUGGAGGAAGGUGGGGAUGACGUCAAGUCAUCAUGGCCCUUACGAGUAGGGCUACACACGUGCUACAAUGGCGCAUACAAAGAGAAGCGACCUCGCGAGAGCAAGCGGACCUCAUAAAGUAUGUCGUAGUCCGGAUUGGAGUCUGCAACUCGACUCCAUGAAGUCGGAAUCGCUAGUAAUCGUGGAUCAGAAUGCCACGGUGAAUACGUUCCCGGGCCUUGUACACACCGCCCGUCACACCAUGGGAGUGGGUUGCAAAAGAAGU